AACGAACGCUGGCGGCGUGCCUAACACAUGCAAGUCGAACGGCAGCACGGGAGCAAUCCUGGUGGCGAGUGGCGAACGGGUGAGUAAUGUAUCGGAACGUGCCCAGUCGUGGGGGAUAACGUAGCGAAAGCUACGCUAAUACCGCAUACGAUCUAUGGAUGAAAGCGGGGGAUCGCAAGACCUCGCGCGAUUGGAGCGGCCGAUAUCAGAUUAGGUAGUUGGUGGGGUAAAGGCCCACCAAGCCUGCGAUCUGUAGCUGGUCUGAGAGGACGACCAGCCACACUGGAACUGAGACACGGUCCAGACUCCUACGGGAGGCAGCAGUGGGGAAUUUUGGACAAUGGGCGCAAGCCUGAUCCAGCAAUGCCGCGUGCAGGAUGAAGGCCUUCGGGUUGUAAACUGCUUUUGUACGGAACGAAACGGCUUUUUCUAAUACAGAGAGCUAAUGACGGUACCGUAAGAAUAAGCACCGGCUAACUACGUGCCAGCAGCCGCCGUAA
rnacentral:rRNA from 1 species